ensembl:lincRNA
UUAGAGAGAACAAACCUGUGCUUACUCAUUUACUACUUGUUUGCUUUUCACUUCAUUUCAGUCUCGCUUGUAAUUCCAGUCUCCUUGUGGAAUUGUCUGACCAUGAGUAAAAUGAGCUACUUGGCAGCAAGACAAACAGGACACCGACAGGAAUUCUAGGCUGUAAGACCUGCAUCCGUAAUGGAAGGAGACAUAAUGGGAGGAGUAACUGGGUCGCAGUGCACAGGGGCACAGCUGGCCUUGAGGAGCACCCAGCCUGCUGCUGGACGCACCUACCACCGUCAGCAGACGUACUGGACACAUCCCGUGAGUGCGCCUUGAAAUACAUGGAACCAUGUGUGACAGCUGCCUCACAGGGAUACUGACAUUUCAUGAUGACAACUGGCAGUGAAGAGGCUGCCAGGAGCACCUGUGCGCAGGCUGGUGAGAGCAAGUGGAAGCAGAAAUCGCGAAGGAUGA